UUCCGGUUGAUCCUGCCAGACCUGACUGCUAUCGGAUUGAUACUAAGCCAUGCGAGUCAUUGUAGCAAUACAAGGCAUACGGCUCAGUAACGCGUAGUCAAUCUACCCUAUGGACGGGAAUAACCUCGGGAAACUGAGAAUAAUGCCAGAUAGAACAUUAUGCCUGGAAUGGUUUAUGUUUCAAAUGAUUUAUCGCCAUAGGAUGGGACUGCGGCCUAUCAGUUUGUUGGUGAGGUAAUGGCCCACCAAGACUAUUACAGGUACGGGCUCUGAGAGGAGUAGCCCGGAGAUGGGUACUGAGACACGGACCCAGGCCCUAUGGGGCGCAGCAGGCGAGAAAACUUUGCAAUGUGCGAAAGCACGACAAGGUUAAUCCGAGUGGUUUCUGCUAAAGAAACCUUUUGUCAGUCCUAGAAACACUGUUGAAUAAGGGGUGGGCAAGUUCUGGUGUCAGCCGCCGCGGUAAAACCAGCACCUCAAGUGGUCAGGAUGAUUAUUGGGCCUAAAGCAUCCGUAGCUUGUUUUGUAAGUUUUCGGUUAAAUCCAUGCGCUUAACGUAUGGGCUGCCGGGAAUACUGCAUAACUAGGAAGUGGGAGAGGUAGACGGUACUCGAUAGGAAGGGGUAAAAUCCUUUGAUCUAUUGAUGACCACCUGUGGCGAAGGCGGUCUACCAGAACACGUUCGACGGUGAGGGAUGAAAGCUGGGGGAGCAAACCGGAUUAGAUACCCGGGUAGUCCCAGCUGUAAACUAUGCAAACUCAGUGAUGCAUUGGCUUGUGGCCAUUGCAGUGCUGCAGGGAAGCCGUUAAGUUUGCCGCCUGGGAAGUACGUACGCAAGUAUGAAACUUAAAGGAAUUGGCGGGGGAGCACCACAAGGGGUGAAGCUGCGGUUCAAUUGGAUUCAACGCCGGA
rnacentral:rRNA from 1 species